UGUUUGUUCUUCUUAAAAGAAGGGGGUGCUUUAUGGGACUGGAUCUCGCAGUUUAGAUGCUUGGCUGUAAAGACUCCCUUGGACAGCUUUUCAGUUGUUGGCUGUAGCAACUUGUUUUCUUGCAGAGAUGAAGCAUCUGGUUUCUGUUAUCUCAAUGAUGCUGUCCUAGGAAUAUUACGAUUGCGACGGAAAUUUGACCGGAUUCUCUAUGUGGACUUGGAUCUACACCAUGGAGAUGGUGUAGAAGAUGCCUUCAGUUUUACAUCUAAAGUUAUGACUGUGUCCCUGCACAAGUUCUCUCCAGGAUUUUUCCCAGGAACAGGUGACAUGUCUGAUGUUGGCCUGGGGAAAGGACGGUACUACAGUGUCAAUGUGCCCAUUCAGGAUGGCAUCCAGGAUGAGAAGUACUAUCACAUCUGUGAAAGGUAUGACAGUGACACAGAACUAGUUGCAAGUAAAUCGGAUCUCUCCGAAGGGUGCUGUGUUUCUCAAACUCAUAAUUCUUGUUUUCAAGGAACAAUUUGAAAAUGAAAACCAUUAAAUGCUCACAUAUAUGUUAUCUUUUUUUUUGAAAUAGGGUCUUUCUAUAUAACCCUAGCUGUACUGAAACCCUCUGUGUAGACCAGGCUGCCCUCAAACUAACAGAGAUCUGCUUGCCUCUGCCUUCCAACUGCUGGGGCUAAAGGUGUGCACCACCAUGCCCAGCUCAUGUCACCUUUAGAUACUACUUCCUAUGCUUGUUUGAUCUGGUAACUGUCCCCUGUUAGAGCACUAAACAGUUGGAUCAGAGACGAGAGUUUCCAUUUGACUGAACCUGCUAUACCAUGUGAUAAAGACUGUCCCAGAAUAAAAAAUUUUAAGCUGUCCUGAGGAGUCCCUUCACCCAUACUUUCUUGCAUGUGCGUUACUUUAUUAGCCUGAUGCUAUAUUUUGGGUUUUCUCAUGGAGACCUGUUUUCCUCCACUGACAUGAACAUUAGAGUCGAUGGUAAUGAUUUAUCAUUCAUUAUUGUGUCCUCCCUGUACACCUGAUUAAAAGUGUAUUCAGAAAGCACAGAAACAGUAAUAGAGGGAGUUUGGAAAGGGUGGAAUCUGUUUACUGUGCUGGAGACAGAAUCAGUGCCCUGUAUACACUAAGCUACAUUCUUCCCCAGUCCAAAUUUCUUUUUACACUAGAGUUAAGAAUACGGUUAUGAAGCUACACAUACAUAUACAGGCAGACAUGGUUUGGUUUGUAGACGACUGGGGUUGAGAGUCCUGCAGAAUGAAGGGAGGCUCAUAUUUGCCCAAAUUAAGGUCAAUCAGCUACAAUUUUACAGCCGACAUUGGCAAUGGACAAGGUAAGCCUAACUGCAAGUCCACCAGUCAAGCUCGCCGAAGGUAAGCAGUGAGGAUGGAAACCUGUUUAAUCCCUACCCCCACCCAGCUCACAUUUCUCCCAAUUGCUGGUAGAAAACAGGGACUUCCCAGAGGAGCCUGCCUGCUCUGCCCCCCAUCACAGGCAGUUGUGUAAACAGAGUAGAACUGUAUGAGAAAUAAAAACUUCAAAGGUACCUCUGAGCUUAAGAGACUUGGGGAGGCAAGUCAUCCUGCAGUCAGUCAGCAGCACCAGACUUUUCAUACUCCUCAUCGUGUCCCUGGGAUAACUCUGGAUUGUCCGGCUGGAAGAGAUUGUCGAGCCUGCCACUGAUGGUUUAAUUGCCCUUCUUUGUUUCCCUUAGGCUUUGUUCUGUCCUUGAGAUGUGCAGAUCAGAAGUGCUUAUGUAACCUUACCAAUGAAGAUGUCCUGUGGUUCUCUGUAAAGGAAAAUUAUUUUGUUUGUCUUUUAAUCUCCUUCUUGACAGUGCCCAACAUUUUGUUGGCCUUUGUUUUUUUCUUUUACCAUAGCAGGACACUAAGUUGUUCUUUCAGGGGACUGUCCACAGGGUUUCUUAGAGCUCUUUCCUGGCUCUUAAUUGAAAGAUCACCAUUUACCAGCCUGCAAGUGUAGUUUGGGAUAUCUGGCCUUCUCUAAGUGGAUCACCUUACAUGUGUCCCUAUUGAAUUAUCUGUCAAUCAUAAGACCUCCUGAGAUUUUCUUUUAUCCCCCAUCAGCUUGGCAUUUCACUGCCUGUGACAAAAGCUGAACAUUAUGUGCAGACUUGAGGAUUUCCCAGCUUCUACUCUCCUGAAGGAAGGCUACUAUUUAUCCUUAAAUCAUGAAAAUGUCUGUUUUCCCCUAUGUUUUCUGAUUUUGCUUUAUGUACACUAAUUCGUUAUAAAUGAUUUUUCAAAAGUUAAUGUCAUGGCAAUUCAUGUUUAAAAUAACGUAGGUAUUAAACAUGAGUAGAAGCAUUUUUAAAGGAAAUAUGCCCCAAGAUUACAUAUGUUUUCCCUUCACACAAUCCAUUCUGCCACAGGCUUCCUGGUAGACAACAUCAGGCUAGCAUUCACUGAAGAGUCUUCUAGCUUGCCAACUAAAGAAACAGACAGUCAUCAGUUUAUAGAUCCAAAGACUGCCUAUUGAUCCUCACAGGCAGUGCAGACAGACACUGGUCACCCAGAAUAACAGACUCCAGGUUCUCAAAAAGAAGCACAGUGGUUGCAUCAUUUGUUAGGCUGCAGAAGUCACUUCUGUUGACAGCACCGUGUCAAGGUGCCUCUCUCUCCAAGGCUUCCCAUGCCAAGUAUCUGCCCCACCAUUGUUGACUUGAGCCUGACACUCCUGUAACAGAAAGGGAACAUCCUUCUAUUAAAAAAAAAAGCCCCCAGAUGAGCUUUCGGCACAAUGUCUCCUCCCCAAAGCCUCUAGGAAUAGCAUUCAUUUGAUGGACAGCAGACUUGGCAAAUGCUGGAGAGCCAGCUCCCUGGCUCUCAGGUGAUCAGGUAGUAGAGCACAAGAAGAAAAGUACUGGCAUCUGAAAAGCUUUGCAUAGUUUAGCAGUCCCGAUAAACACGCUUCUCAGUCUCAGGAAUUAUCCUCAGGGUACUUCUACCUAGCAUGGUUUGGAACUAGAGGCCGUUGUUACAGUGCCUACCUCCAAAGACACUUGACAGAGGAGUGGCUGAUCUUUGAGAAAGUCAUGCAACCCUUCCGCUGUGUCCUUCUCACCUGUUUGCUCUGUAAGCCCGCUGGUUCUCCGGCUCACCCCUCACUACAGAGAUAGAAAGAAGCUUAUCGCUGGCACAAGCAGACGCUGCUCAGUUUUGGAGUUAUCUCUCAAUUGCUAAUUUGUUCCUGAGCUGAUUUUCUGUGCAGGAUUCAGACACUCAUUGCCCUGCCUUCUUUCAAAGCUCUCUUUUUUUCCCUCUUUUUCUUUCCCCUUCAUUUCUUUCUGUCUUCCCUUUCUUUUAAAGGAAGAUUGCCUUUUCCUUGCUUGUAACUUUCAUAUUUUUCCAGCUUUUCAGGCAGGGACUUAAAAGUUUCAUCAUAACACUGAGCGCCCCUCCUUACUUAAAAUUUCUUUUUGUAAUAGACUGGAUACGGAAAUGUUAUGUGAAUGUUUUCUAAUACCAACAAAAGAGCUGAAGGUUUUUGUUUAAAUGACAAUUUCAUAUUAGAUGUCCCUGGGUCAUUUGGUAUUAAAGACAGAGGUCCAUGAUUUUAUACAAGCUUCCUGUAAGUUUUAUGGGAGCUAGUGGAGUUGGCAUUGUGAGUUGGCCAUUUAUCAACCAAUAGAAAUGAAUAGUAGCAUUACUAUCAUGAGCAUAUCACUUCCCUCAAGUGGAACUUAUGGCUCAGGUAUAGAGACUUUAUAUAAAUCAAGAUGAUAAUAAUUUCAUAGAGACUUUAUAUAAAUCAAGAUGAUAAUAAUUUCAUUCAAAUCACUCCCAACCCUGAACACAUCACACACUCACAACCCUGCCCAUAUCACACUCACAAAGUUUGGAGGAAAAAAAUAUUAAGCAUUGUCAUCUAGAAGUAUAAAUAAAGCUGGAGGUGGGACUUCCUGAUAGGGCACUUACCAAGUGUACAUAAAACUCUGGAGUGUGUGUGUGUGUGUGUGUGUGUGUGUGUGUGUGUGUGUUCAUACAUCUAUACAUACAGAGAGGUACUGCUUUACCUGUAUUUAACUUGCUUGCUCUCUAGCUAUAUGUGAAUAUGAUGUAAAACUGUCUUAAUACUGUUUUGCGCUUGCCUAACAUGCUAUGUAUGACAAUGAUUUUGGGAGCAGUCACAGUCAAGAACUGUGCAAGAGAAGGACAGAAACAAGUACUUCUUGGCUGUUGGUUCAAGGGAGGUUU
rnacentral:lncRNA from 14 species